GGGAUUAUGGCUCAGCCGUAGAGCACUCGCCUCACAUGUGAGAGGCCCUGAGUUCAAUCCUCAGCACCA
rnacentral:tRNA from 1 species